rnacentral:rRNA from 1 species
UACGGAGGGGGCUAGCGUUGUUCGGAAUUACUGGGCGUAAAGCGCACGUAGGCGGCUUUGUAAGUUAGAGGUGAAAGCCCGGGGCUCAACUCCGGAAUUGCCUUUAAGACUGCAUCGCUAGAAUUGUGGAGAGGUAAGUGGAAUUCCGAGUGUAGAGGUGAAAUUCGUAGAUAUUCGGAAGAACACCAGUGGCGAAGGCGGCUCACUGGCCCGUAACUGACGCUCAUGCACGACAGCGUGGGGAUCAAACAGG